UGUUGCCAGUGGUUAUUGCUUUGAUUGCAAUAACACUUUCAGUAUUUGUUCUGGUGGGUUUGUAUCGAAUGUGCUGGAAGACAGACCCAGGCAUGCCAGAAAAUGGAAAUGAUCAACCUCAGUCCGAUAAAGAGGGUGUGAAGCUUCUCACUGUUAAGACAAUUUCUCACGAGUCUGGUAAG